rnacentral:snoRNA from 1 species
GCAUGGGUUUGGAUUUAUGUCAGGCCUGUCUCCUGGAUCUCUCACAUUCUCCCAUGGCAAAGGAAACUAUGGCCUUGAACCAUUGCCUGGCCUUCGUCCAUAGGCUGCAAACACAGAAGUGGGGGUGGGGGGAUA